GACGAACGCUGGCGGCGUGCUUAACACAUGCAAGUCGAACGGAAAGGCGCAGCUUUUGUGGGGUACACGAGUGGCGAACGGGUGAGUAACACGUGAGUAACCUGCCCUUGACUUUGGGAUAACUUCAGGAAACUGGGGCUCAAACCGCAUAGGAGCUCCUGAAGCAUGGGGGGGGUUGGAAAGAUACGGCUGUUGGGGAUAGACUCGAGGGUUACUAGCUUGUUGGGCGAGUAGUUGCGUGCAAAGGCUUUGACGGGUAGCCGGCCUGGGAGGGUGACCAGGUACAUGGGGACUGAGAUACGCCGCAGUCUCCAACGGGGGGCGGUAGUGGUGAAUAUUGCACUAUGAUGGAAAGCAAGAUGCAGACGAGCCGCGAGCGGGAUGCCGAGCUUCUGGGUGUAAACCUCUUUCGAGUUUAACAGGGCGUUCGUGACGGUAACGAGUAAAAAAGCACCGGCUAACUACGUG
rnacentral:rRNA from 1 species